rnacentral:rRNA from 1 species
CCUACGGGCGGCAGCAGUGGGGAAUAUUGGACAAUGGGCGAAAGCCUGAUCCAGCCAUGCCGCGUGUGUGAAGAAGGCCUUCGGGUUGUAAAGCACUUUCAGUGGGGAAGAAAGCCUUGGGGCUAAUACCCUCGAGGAAGGACAUCACCCACAGAAGAAGCACCGGCUAACUCCGUGCCAGCAGCCGCGGUAAUACGGAGGGUGCGAGCGUUAAUCGGAAUUACUGGGCGUAAAGCGCGCGUAGGCGGUCUGAUAAGCCGGUUGUGAAAGCCCCGGGCUCAACCUGGGAACGGCAUCCGGAACUGUCAGGCUAGAGUGCAGGAGAGGAAGGUAGAAUUCCCGGUGUAGCGGUGAAAUGCGUAGAGAUCGGGAGGAAUACCAGUGGCGAAGGCGGCCUUCUGGACUGACACUGACGCUGAGGUGCGAAAGCGUGGGUAGCAAACAGGAUUAGAUACCCUAGUGUC